UACGGGGGGGGCAAGCGUUGUUCGGAAUUACUGGGCGUAAGGGGCUCGUAGGCGGCCAACUAAGUCAAACGUGAAAUCCCUCGGCUUAACCGGGGAACUGCGCUUGAUACUGGAUGGCUUGAGAUUGGGAGAGGGAUGCGGAAUUCCAGGUGUAGCGGUGAAAUGCGUAGAUAUCUGGAGGAACACCGGUGGCGAAGGCGGCAUCCUGGACCAACACUGACGCUGAGGAGCGAAAGCCAGGGGAGCAAACGGG
rnacentral:rRNA from 1 species